CCCACCCCCGAGAGGAGCCUGUUCUAUAAUCGAUAAUCCCCGCUAUACCCUACCAUUCCUCGCCUCAGUCUGUAUACCUCCGUCGAAAGCCUACCCUGUGAACGUCCAGUAAGCCCAAUGACCCCCCUCAACACGUCAGGUCAAGGUGCAGCUCACGGAAUGGCCCGUAAUGGGCUAGAAUUUCUAACAUAGAACAAACGAAAGGCCAUGUGAAACCAUAGUCACGAAGGUGGAUCUAGCAGUAAAAAGAAAAUAGAGUGUUCUUUUUAACCCGGCUCUGGGACCACUUCACGUUUAUAACCCUUUAUCCGCACCUUAGAAGAGGCAAGUCGUAACACGGUAAGUGUACUGGAAAGUGCACUUGGAUUACAACAAAAUAUAGCUUAA
rnacentral:rRNA from 1 species